rnacentral:rRNA from 1 species
CCUACGGGAGGCAGCAGUGAGGAAUAUUGGUCAAUGGGCGCGAGCCUGAACCAGCCAAGUCGCGUGAGGGAUGAAGGUUCUAUGGAUCGUAAACCUCUUUUAUAAGGGAAUAAAGUGUGGGACGUGUCCUAUUUUGUAUGUACCUUAUGAAUAAGGAUCGGCUAACUCCGUGCCAGCAGCCGCGGUAAUACGGAGGAUCCGAGCGUUAUCCGGAUUUAUUGGGUUUAAAGGGUGCGUAGGCGGCCUUUUAAGUCAGCGGUGAAAGUCUGUGGCUCAACCAUAGAAUUGCCGUUGAAACUGGGGGGCUUGAGUAUGUUUGAGGCAGGCGGAAUGCGUGGUGUAGCGGUGAAAUGCUUAGAUAUCACGCAGAACCCCGAUUGCGAAGGCAGCCUGCCGUGCCGCCACUGACGCUGAGGCACGAAAGCGCGGGGAUCGAACAGGAUUAGAUACCCGGGUAGUC